AUUCACUCUUCCAUGAACAUUCUUUUACGAAGAGAAGGAUUUGGAGGAAGAAAGAAAAAUAAAAGUAUUGACAGAAAUCAAUUGAUGGCGUAUUGAUCUCUUAUGAAAUGAGUACAGUGAAAGAAAAAUGUUUCUUGGAGAAGUUGGUUGUGUUUUUUGGUGGGUCCUGUUCUUGGCUUAGAUGCAUGAGAUUUUGGACAUCUUUGCUGGUACGCUUGGUUGGGGUGGAAAGUGACUAUUGAGAGAUUCAAAAAGGCAGAAGAGACAAGCCAAAAAAAUGUUGGAGGUUGGGUUGUGGUGUGUUUUUUGAACUUGUUAAGGAUAGGGAGCAAGUGAUCAACAAGGUAUGAAACUAAUUUUUUUGUGUGUUUGACUAUUGCAAAAGCUUAUAUACUAUAAUGUUUUUUCGCAGUGACACAUUACUAACUUAAAAAGAUGAUCUUUGUAAUUGUUUCUAUCAUCUACAGUAGUAU
rnacentral:sRNA from 1 species